GAUGAAGAACGUAGCAAAAUGCGAUAAGUAAUGUGAAUUGCAGAAUUCAGUGAAUCAUCGAAUCUUUGAACGCACAUUGCGCCCGCCAGUAUUCUGGCGGGCAUGCCUGUUCGAGCGUCAUUUCAACCCUCAAGCACAGCUUGGUGUUGGGACUCGCGUUAAUUCGCGUUCCUCAAAUUGAUUGGCGGUCACGUCGAGCUUCCAUAGCGUAGUAGUAAAACCCUCGUUACUGGUAAUCGUCGCGGCCACGCCGUUAAACCCCAACUUCUGAAUGUUGACCUCGAAUCAGGUAGGAAUACCCGCUGAACUUAAGCAUAUCAAUAAGCGGAGGA
rnacentral:misc_RNA from 1 species